rnacentral:rRNA from 1 species
AUUGAACGCUGGCGGCAGGCCUAACACAUGCAAGUCGGGCGAAUCCGGCUUCGGCCAGGUGAGCGGCGAACGGGUGAGUAACACGUAGGAAUCUGCCUGGUAGUGGGGGACAACGUCUCGAAAGGGACGCUAAUACCGCAUACGCCCUACGGGGGAAAGCAGGGGCUCUUCGGACCUUGCGCUAUCAGAUGAGCCUGCGUCGGAUUAGCUAGUUGGUAGGGUAAAGGCCUACCAAGGCGACGAUCCGUAACUGGUCUGAGAGGAUGAUCAGUCACACCGGAACUGAGACACGGUCCGGACUCCUACGGGAGGCAGCAGUGGGGAAUAUUGGACAAUGGGGGCAACCCUGAUCCAGCCAUGCCGCGUGUGUGAAGAAGGCCUUCGGGUUGUAAAGCACUUUAGGUCGGGAGGAAGGUUCGCUGGCUAAUAUCCAGCGGAAUUGACGUUACCGACAGAAUAAGCACCGGCUAACUCCGUGCCAGCCGCCGCGGUAAUAC